rnacentral:rRNA from 1 species
AGAGUUUGAUCCUGGCUCAGAGUGAACGCUGGCGGUAGGCCUAACACAUGCAAGUCGAACGGCAGCACAGGAGAGCUUGCUCUCUGGGUGGCGAGUGGCGGACGGGUGAGGAAUACAUCGGAAUCUACCUUUUCGUGGGGGAUAACGUAGGGAAACUUACGCUAAUACCGCAUACGACCUAUGGGUGAAAGUGGGGGACCGCAAGGCCUCACGCGAUUAGAUGAGCCGAUGUCCGAUUAGCUAGUUGGCGGGGUAAUGGCCCACCAAGGCGACGAUCGGUAGCUGGUCUGAGAGGAUGAUCAGCCACACUGGAACUGAGACACGGUCCAGACUCCUACGGGAGGCAGCAGUGGGGAAUAUUGGACAAUGGGCGCAAGCCUGAUCCAGCCAUACCGCGUGGGUGAAGAAGGCCUUCGGGUUGUAAAGCCCUUUUGUUGGGAAAGAAAUCCUAUCGAUUAAUACUCGGUGGGGAUGACGGUACCCAAAGAAUAAGCACCGGCUAACUUCGUGCCAGCAGCCGCGGUAAUACGAAGGGUGCAAGCGUUACUCGGAAUUACUGGGCGUAAAGCGUGCGUAGGUGGUUGUUUAAGUCUGCUGUGAAAGCCCUGGGCUCAACCUGGGAAUUGCAGUGGAUACUGGGCAACUAGAGUGUGGUAGAGGGAUGCGGAAUUUCUGGUGUAGCAGUGAAAUGCGUAGAGAUCAGAAGGAACAUCCGUGGCGAAAGCGGCAUCCUGGGCCAACACUGACACUGAGGCACGAAAGCGUGGGGAGCAAACAGGAUUAGAUACCCUGAUAGUCCACGCCCUAAACGAUGCGAACUGGAUGUUGGGUGCAACUUGGCACCCAGUAUCGAAGCUAACGUGUUAAGUUCGCCGCCUGGGGAGUACGGUCGCAAGACUGAAACUUAAAUGAAUUGACGG